AAUAAGAGAAUGAUAAAUUAGAUUUUUUUUUUUGAUUUUCAGCCUUUUCCUCCCAAAAAAUUUAAAUCCAGCUAAAAAUGCUAAAAGUCAGGAGGAAAAAUCUGAUUUGUCAUUCUCCUAUU
rfam:Gossypium hirsutum cultivar TM-1 chromosome 19, whole genome shotgun sequence